rnacentral:rRNA from 1 species
AAAUUGAAGAGUUUGAUCAUGGCUCAGAUUGAACGCUGGCGGCAGGCCUAACACAUGCAAGUCGAACGGUAACAGGAAGCAGCUUGCUGCUUUGCUGACGAGUGGCGGACGGGUGAGUAAUGUCUGGGAAACUGCCUGAUGGAGGGGGAUAACUACUGGAAACGGUGGCUAAUACCGCAUAACGUCGCAAGACCAAAGAGGGGGACCUUCGGGCCUCUUGCCAUCAGAUGUGCCCAGAUGGGAUUAGCUAGUUGGUGAGGUAACGGCUCACCAAGGCGACGAUCCCUAGCUGGUCUGAGAGGAUGACCAGCCACACUGGAACUGAGACACGGUCCAGACUCCUACGGGAGGCAGCAGUGGGGAAUAUUGCACAAUGGGCGCAAGCCUGAUGCAGCCAUGCCGCUUGUAUGAAGAAGGCCUUCGGGUUGUAAAGUACUUUCAGCGGGGAGGAAGGUGUUGUGGUAAAUAACCGCAGCAAUUGACGUUACCCGCAGAAGAAGCACCGGCUAACUCCGUGCCAGCAGCCGCGGUAAUACGGAGGGUGCAAGCGUUAAUCGGAAUUACUGGGCGUAAAGCGCACGCAGGCGGUCUGUCAAGUCGGAUGUGAAAUCCCCGGGCUCAACCUGGGAACUGCAUUCGAAACUGGCAGGCUUGAGUCUUGUAGAGGGGGGUAGAAUUCCAGGUGUAGCGGUGAAAUGCGUAGAGAUCUGGAGGAAUACCGGUGGCGAAGGCGGCCCCCUGGACAAAGACUGACGCUCAGGUGCGAAAGCGUGGGGAGCAAACAGGAUUAGAUACCCUGGUAGUCCACGCCGUAAACGAUGUCUACUUGGAGGUUGUGCCCUUGAGGCGUGGCUUCCGGAGCUAACGCGUUAAGUAGACCGCCUGGGGAGUACGGCCGCAAGGUUAAAACUCAAAUGAAUUGACGGGGGCCCGCACAAGCGGUGGAGCAUGUGGUUUAAUUCGAUGCAACGCGAAGAACCUUACCUGGUCUUGACAUCCACAGAACUUUCCAGAGAUGGACUGGUGCCUUCGGGAACUGUGAGACAGGUGCUGCAUGGCUGUCGUCAGCUCGUGUUGUGAAAUGUUGGGUUAAGUCCCGCAACGAGCGCAACCCUUAUCCUUUGUUGCCAGCGGUCCGGCCGGGAACUCAAAGGAGACUGCCAGUGAUAAACUGGAGGAAGGUGGGGAUGACGUCAAGUCAUCAUGGCCCUUACGACCAGGGCUACACACGUGCUACAAUGGCGCAUACAAAGAGAAGCGACCUCGCGAGAGCAAGCGGACCUCAUAAAGUGCGUCGUAGUCCGGAUUGGAGUCUGCAACUCGACUCCAUGAAGUCGGAAUCGCUAGUAAUCGUGGAUCAGAAUGCCACGGUGAAUACGUUCCCGGGCCUUGUACACACCGCCCGUCACACCAUGGGAGUGGGUUGCAAAAGAAGUAGGUAGCUUAACCUUCGGGAGGGCGCUUACCACUUUGUGAUUCAUGACUGGGGUGAAGUCGUAACAAGGUAACCGUAGGGGAACCUGCGGUUGGAUCACAUCCUUACCUUAAAGAAGC